GUCUGAUCAGAUUUAUUCACUAGUCCUAACCUAGGGGCUACCUGAUCAAGAUUAGACAGUAUGAUCAGAUGCAUUCACUAGUCUGUCAACAUUGGAAAUUCAAAAGAAUCUGGUCAUGCUUGAACGGUAUGACCAAGUUGCUAUUAUUGCAUGGGGCCUUUAUUUCAAAUCUUUUUGCCCUCUUUUCUUUUCUUUUCUUUUUCUUUUCUUUUUCUUUUCUUUUUCUUUUCUUUUCACAAAUAAUUUGAAGGAUGAAAUAUCAUUUGUGAACCAGAUCACCAGAUAUAGAUAAUAUCCCAGUCAUAAGAUGAUUCCCAUAAAUUAUGGGGUGAUAACAAGGGGUAAAGGUCAGCCAGUGAGACGAUGGGGGAUAAGCUUCAUCGUCGAGAGGGAAACAACCCAGAUCAUCAGCUAAGGCCCCUAAAUGACCGCUCAGUGAUGAAGGAAGUAUGAGUGCAAAGAUAGCCAGGAGGUUUGCCUAGAAGCAUCCAACCUUGAAAGAGUGCGUAAUAGCUCACUGAUUGAGCGCUCUUGCACCGAAGAUGAAUGGGACUAAGCGAUCUGCCGAAGCUGUGGGAUGUAAAAAUACAUCGGUAGGGGAGCGUUCUGCCUCAGAGGGAAGCACCGGUGCGAGCAGGUGUGGACGAAGCGGAAGCGAGAAUGUCGGCUUGAGUAACGCAAACAUUGGUGAGAAUCCAAUGACCCAAAAACCUAAGGGUUCCUCCGGAAGGUUCAUCCACGGAGGGUGAGUCAGGGCCUAAGAUCAGGCUGAAAGGUGUAGUCAAUGGAUAACAGGUUAAUAUUCCUGUACUACCCCUUAUUGGUCCCGAGGGAUGGAGGAGGCUAGGUUAGAUGAAAUAUGGUUAUUGGUUCAAGGACGCAAGGUGACGCAACCUUUUUCAGGGUAAGAAGGGGUAGAGAAAAUUCCUCGAGCCAAUGUCCGAGUACCAAGCGCUACAGUGCUGAAGUAACCCAUGCCAUACUCCCAGGAAAAGCUCGAACGACAUUUAACAAAUGGGUACCUGUACCCGAAACUGACACAGGUAGGUAGGUAGAGAAUACCUAGGGGCACGAGACAAAUCUCUCUACGGAACUCGGCAAAAUAGCCCCAUAAAUUCGGGAGAAGGGGUGCCUCCUCAGGAGGUCGCAGUGACCAGGCCCGGGCGACUGUUUACCAAAAACACAGGUCUUCGCAAAGUCGUAAGACCAUGUAUGGGGGCUGACGUCUACCCAGUGCCGGAAGGUUAAGGAAGUUGGUGACCUGAUGACGGGGAAGCCAGCGACCGAAGCCCCGGUGAACGGCGACCGUAACUAUAACGGUCCUAAGGUAGCGAAAUUCCUUGUUGGGUAAGUUUCAACCCGCACGAAAGGCGUAAUGAUCUGGGCACUGUCUCGAAGAGAGACUCGGUGAAAUAGACAUGUCUAUGAAGAUGCGGACUACCUGCACCUGGAUAGAAAGACCCUAUGAAUCUUUACUGUUCCCUGGGAUUGUCUUUGGGUUCUUCUUGUGCAGCUUAGGUGGAAGGCGAAGAAGGCUCCCUCUUGGGGGGGCCUAAGCCACCAGUGAGAUACCACUCUGGAAGAGCUAGAAUUCUAACCUUGUGUUAGGACCUAUGGGCCAAGGGACAGUCUCAGACCUACGGGCCAAGGGACAGUCUCAGUUAGAUAGUUUCUAUGGGGUGUAGGCCUCCCAAAAGGUAACGAAGGUGUGUAAAGGUUUCCUCGGGCCGGACGGAAAUCAGCCCUCGAGUGCAAAGGCAGAAGGGAGCUUGACUACAAGACCCACCCAUCGAGCAGGGACGAAAGUCGACCUUAGUGAUCCGACGGUGCUGAGUGGAAGGGUCGUCGCUCAACGGAUAAAAGUUACUCUAGGGAUAAUAGGUUGAUCUUAUCCAAGAGUUCACAUCGACGAGAAGGUUUGACACCUCGAUGUCAGCUCUUCGCCACCUGGGGUGGUAGUACGUUCCAAUGGUUGGGAUGUUCACCCAUUAAAGCGGUACGUGAGCUGGGUUCAGAACGUCGUGAGAUAGUUCAGUCCAUAUCCGAUGCGGGCGUUAGAGCAUUGGGAGGACCUUUCCCUAGUAUGAGAGGACCGGGAAGGAUGCACCUUUGGUGUACCAGUUAUCGUGCCCACGGUAGACGCUGGGUAGACAAGUGCAGAGAGGAUAACUACUGAAAGCAUAUAAGUAGGAAGCCCACCCCAAGAUGAGUGCUCUCCUAUUCUUACUUCCUUGAGAUCCCUAGUCGUGAACAUGGAUAUUACAACGACGGGUUCUCUGUCCUUGCAGGGGAUGGAGCGACAAAAGUAUUGAGAAUCCAAGAUAAGGUCACGACGAGACGAGUCGUUUAUCAUUACGAUAGGUUUCAAGUGGAAGUGCAAUGAUGUAUGCAGCUGAGGCAUCCUAACAGACCGAGAGAUUUGAACCU
rnacentral:ncRNA from 1 species